rnacentral:snoRNA from 1 species
UUCCAUGGUGAGGACAAUCUGAUAUAUAUCCUUGAAAACGCUCCCAUGCUUCUUGAAUGGUUUCUGUCUUCUGCUAUUGGAAACUGACAAUAUUUUCUCUUAAGGCA